rnacentral:rRNA from 1 species
CCUACGGGUGGCAGCAGUAGGGAAUAUUGCUCAAUGGGGGAAACUCUGAAGCAGCAACGCCGCGUGGAGGAUGAAGGUUUUCGGAUUGUAAACUUCUUUUGUUAGAGAAGAUAAUGACGGUAUCUAACGAACAAGCACUGGCUAACUCCGUGCCAGCAGCCGCGGUAAUACGGAGGGUGCAAGCGUUACUCGGAAUCACUGGGCGUAAAGUGCGCGUAGGCGGGAUAGCAAGUCAGAUGUGAAAUCCUAUGGCUUAACCAUAGAACUGCAUUUGAAACUGUUAUUCUAGAGUGUGGGAGAGGUAGGUGGAAAUCUAGGUGGAGGGGUAGAAUCCGU